rnacentral:rRNA from 1 species
UACGUAGGUGGCAAGCGUUGUCCGGAUUUACUGGGCGUAAAGAGCGCGCAGGCGGUCGUUUAAGUCGAGUGUGAAAGCCCCCGGCUCAACUGGGGAGGGUCACUCGAUACUGGUCGACUCGAAGGCAGAAGAGGGAAGCGGAAUUCCCGGUGUAGUGGUGAAAUGCGUAGAUAUCGGGAGGAACACCAGUGGCGAAGGCGGCUUUCUGGUCUGCUCUUGACGCUGAGGCGCGAAAGCUAGGGUAGCAAACGGG